CAGCUGUAGGUCUCCACUCAAACAAAAAUUGCCAACUUUGUGUGUCUCUUUCUUUCUCUCCUAAAUCUCAAUCUCACUUUAGUGGGUUUCUUUGUCCCCCAGCCCCUCUGUGUGUCUCUUCCUUUCCAAGCCUCUUUUUAUAGAUCUCUUCUCCCCUCGGCUUUUCUUUCUGUUUCUUUGUCCCCCAACCCCACUGUGUCUCUUUGUCCCUCAAC